UCCCUUCUCUCCUUCCUUUUCCUUUCAUCCUUCCUUUCCUCCUCUCCUCUUUUCCCUCACAUUGCGCCCUCUGGUAUUCCGGGGGGCAUGCCUGUCCGAGCGUCAUUGCGAACCCCUCAAGCCCGGCUUGUGUGAUGGGCCCUCCCGCGUCUUGGUCGUCAAGACGGGCCCGAAAUGCAGUGGCGGCUUCGCGGUUAUCCGAUCAGCCAGAGCGUAUGGGGACUCUCUCUCUUGUCACACGCCCGCGGCGCGGACCGACGCCUGUCGACCUUUAUUCAUCUUCUCUCGGUUGACCUCGGAUCAGGUAGGGAUACCCGCUGAACUUAAGC
rnacentral:misc_RNA from 1 species